UAUAUAUAUAUAUGAGCUGAAUCAAUAUUGAGAUUGAUUUGUAAUGUCUAAAAUGCUUUCGAAUCCGCCGGAGACGUCUGUUUUGCUUCAAAAACUC